GCUGCGCACUUCGGUCUUUUACGUCGGCCUUCGCGAGCGUCUGGGCGGGUGGUAGGUGAGUGGGUAUUGCGGGCUAGUAUCCGAGCAAAAGAUGGUGGCGCAGGCCGAGUUAAGAGCUUUAAUCCUGUGAAGACAUCUUAGUGAAGAGUUUAGAGUGCUGAGAGUUGAAAGCUUGCACGUGGGAAACGUGCGGCCGGACUGCCACAUGUACUGAGGUUGAGUCGUGACGGCCACAGGCUCCGAGUUUUGGCGUGAGGAACCGCUGAUCGGCCACGGGCGCCGAACUUGCUGGCCUCCGGCAUGUGCCUGAGCGGCGGCGGAAAAACCACCUUAAUUGGGGCGGAGGGUUAGUUUUAACAGCAAAGGGCCUUUACUAAAAUGGCGAAGGCCUUCCGUCGGCGUUGUUUUAAAAUGGGAAGCCUCGACCCUGUAUUGAAACUGAGCUGUUCGAAGGCGGCGUUGUGUGCAAUUCGGAUUAAUGAAGGGGAAGGGUUUUGUGUGGAAAAACGCCUUGGAGUGUGACAUUUCUGCGAGAAUGCUUAAAUACCGAUUUCCCGCAGGAACAAUGGCGCUGUCUUCAGUGGCACAGUGGAGCAGCUCUGAAGAUGCAAAGUGAGGGUCGCUGUCUGCCCAUUGAUAGAGGCCAGAUUGUCUUGGAAGUUCCAAAGUUGCAACGAUUUCUUUAGUUGAAUCCAUGGACAUGAAACCCACAGAUAUAGAGGGUUGGCCCGGUGCAGUGGCUCACGCCUGUAAUCCCAGCACUUUGGGAGGCCAAGGCGGGUGGAUCACCUGAGGUCAGAAGCUUGAGACCAGCCUGGCCAACAUGGGUACUGCUUUCUCUUGCUGCAGCUUGCUUCCUCCCUCAGGUAACAUGAAGGAGGAUAUUGAAUGUUCCUAACACAAAGAAAUGAUAAAUGUUUGAGAUGGUGGAUGUACUAAUUGCCCUGAUCUGAUGACUAUACAUUAUAUAUAUUGAAACAUCAGUAUGUACCCCAUGAAUAUGUACAAUUAUAUGUCAACUUAAACACAUUUAAAAGUAAAAAAAAAAAAAUCCAAAA
rnacentral:lncRNA from 1 species